rnacentral:lncRNA from 1 species
GGGAGGGAAGGGCUUGAAGAAGCCCGCUCCUCCUUCUGUCCAUGUUUUAGGUGGGGAAACCGAGACCGAGGGGGUCUAAGGGACUCGCCCAAAUGGCCGAGAGUUAGCAAAGGCAGCCAGAACUGGAAGCCGGGUGUCCCUCCUCCGGCCCCGGUUCCGUCCCUGGACCAGGCGCGGGAAGGCUGGCGUAUCUGCUCUCGGGACGGGCGGCGCGGGUGCCCAAGGAGCCUGGCAGGAGGCCCGGGGCGACUCGGCCGCUUCCCGUUCUGGGCCACCCGGGCCGCACUUCCGGCCGAGGACGCGAGGCGGGGGGCGGGCACGGGGUCGGCUCCUCCCGGGCACCGCCUCCGGGCCUCUCUCACACCCGCAGGCCAGAGGCCAAGGGUUAGGGAGGCGGAAUCAGCGCUCGGCUCCGCCCUGCCCCGAAGCUGCGCUGGGCGGGAGGGGGUCGGCUUCAGCCCGGUCGAGAGCGCGCUAAGGGGAGCUAGGGGCCCGCGUGGACACGGCCGAGGCCCGCGCCACUGGCCAGCAGGGGGCGUGGCGGGGGCGGGGGCGGGACCCGAGCGGCGGCCGGGGGCGGGGCUAGGCCUGGGGGCGUGGUCGAGCGGGGGUGGGCCCGCAGGAGACUUGAGCGCCCGCCCCGGCCGCGCGCCCCGCCCCCGGCCCCCGCCUCCGGGUCCCGCCCUCGCGUCCCUUCCUUCUCCCGGCUGGCAGGCGGGCCGCGGCGGCUGCGGGCGGCGGACCGGCAGACCGGCGGACGGGCGGGCGCCUCCACCUCGCUCCUUCCCUUGCUGCCAGCUUCCUUUUGUCUUUCUGGGGGGCGAUGAGCGCAGGGCCGGCGCGGCGGCUGCGGGCGGACGGAGGCCCGCGCUCCUAGCCACCCUUCCUGGCCUUGGCUCGCUCGUCCCGGACAGCGGCCCGCGCCCGCCUCAGCGUCGGCGGCGCCGAACUUGGGCUCGGGAAGCCGGCGGAUCGCGUCCUGCGCCGGAGCAGGGCUCUGGAUGGGAUUUGUGACAAAGCACGAGCCUGAGGAUGGAUUCAGCUGUCUGAAGUCUCUGCAUUUGCAAGUGUCAAGACUCCGCAGCUGCCUUGCCCAAGGCGAAGUGGAGGAAGGUAUAGCUUCAUGUUUGGGG